CGGAACGGGUGAGUAAUGUCUGGGAAACUGCCCGAUGGAGGGGGAUAACUACUGGAAACGGUAGCUAAUACCGCAUAACGUCGCAAGACCAAAGAGGGGGACCUUCGGGCCUCUUGCCAUCGGAUGUGCCCAGAUGGGAUUAGCUAGUAGGUGGGGUAACGGCUCACCUAGGCGACGAUCCCUAGCUGGUCUGAGAGGAUGACCAGCCACACUGGAACUGAGACACGGUCCAG
rnacentral:rRNA from 1 species